rnacentral:tRNA from 2 species
GGGUGUGUAGCUCAUAUGGUAGAGCGCUUGAUUCGCAUUCAGGAGGCAAGGGGAUCGAUGCCCCUCACAUCUA